AAAAAAAAAAAAAAAAAAAAAACCACAUUGACUUUUCUAGGUCCAGGAGCAGGAGUGAGGCCAGCUGCUACACCUCUCAGGUUAAUACUUUCCUGCCCCAGGUGCUGUUGUCACCAACUGGUCCACCCACUGCCACAUGAAGAGGCACCUUGAAGACCGCUCUUCUCUGCCCCCGAAAAGACCACACCCCCUAGCUGCAUUCUCCUACCCACUUACUGCCUUUCAACCCCUGAAAAAUCUCCCUGGAAAUGUUGUCACCUCCAAGUAAAGACACGGUGUGGAGCUGAGACAUUCUGUCCCCUGGGGCAAGGUGGACGAGCCACAGUUCACCACAAGGGUCCUUGGGACUGUUGUCUUUGCUGCUUCUGUUUCCUGAGUUCUCUCCACUCCAGGUCCCCGACAUGUUGUUGCCCAUGUGCUUUCUUCCCGCCGACUGGAGUCUGGCCCCGGGACUGCCUAGAACUUCUGAGGUCCUGUUGAGUGUCUCCUAGGUAGAUCAGCGUGCUCUUCUAAACACACCUCUGCGCAGUAUGCCAGAGCCACGUCCUUGGUCUCCAAAAAGCUGACUCCUCCUACACUACCCAGCUCAAUCUGAGCACUCCCUCCUUACGCACAUCCACCCUCAGCAAGCCUCAUCUCUGCCCUCUCCUGAGAACUGUCCUUCAGAUCCCUCCCUUUCCCCGGAACCCCCUGCAUGGCUUCCUGGCCAGCUGUACCCUUCUGUUUCUCCAGCCUUAUUUGUAAAACAUGUCUCCUUUCUCCCUAGCCAUUCAGGGAACUGUCUCAGCCCGGGACAGGCUGGUUGAGGCUCCCUCCCCAGCCUGCUCUACCACUCUUGUCUGCCCACUCUCUCUCAGGACCUAGCUUCUGAGCCUAGCUUGCUGCCAGGACACUCCAGGUUCGGAGUGUGUGUAGAGUGCCCCUCUGCCCAGAGGUGUCCUUCCCCCCUCCUCCUCCUCAGCCCAGGUCCUCCACCCCUCUCCUAAACCCUAGGUCACACGUGCUGGUCUGUGUGCUGCCGGCGGUGUCUUCACACUGGCAUGGUGUCCCAGCAGAGCAGAGCUGAUGGCUUCUGCCCUGGGCCCCUGAGAACCAGAUGGGGGGCUUCAGGUUCUGCCUCAGGGCCUUCAGGUCCCAAGCUGCUUCUGUUAGGUGUGAUCACUAUGACUGGAAGGGAGGGCCUCCCGUGUACCAGGACUUUUAGAGAAAAUUUGUCCCAUGCUACAGCUGCUUGAUCCUGGUAUAGCAAUCUCUGUGACAAACUCCCCCCGUGGGUAUGUCCAGCCUUUUGACAUUGCAAAGCAAUGCUGUCAUCUACAAAGUUCACAUUAGAGAACGCAAUGGAGUUGCAACAAACAAUUUCGUAGGUUUUAAGUAUACUUACAGUGUGGUGGGCAGCAUCCGUACCUAUUCUGGGGUGUGGGUGGCCCACACACCACAGGUUAGACACGCCUCAACUGUGGUAUUUGUAGCAUUUCCAAGUGGCACUUAACAAUCUACAUUCCCUUCUGGUUGAACUUUAACUAGACUUAAAAAUGAGAAAAAUCAGAUGAAUCAUACAAGUGACUAAGCUUUGGGUAGAUCUAAAAAGUCUUUAAGUGAGAUGGGGUUUUAAAUUUUUUUAUUGUUCGACUGGCAGAAACCUGAAAUUAACUGUAAAAAAAAAAAUCCACAAAUCAAAUUUGAACUCUGAAAUGAACAGACAAAUCUGGGCGGCUGGAGUUUGCUUUGCUGUUGACUCUGAGGUCAGUCUGAUUUUUAAUAAUUAUACAUCAAAAGAAGAUACUGUGGAAAGGGGGGCAUACCAAGAGGAGGGAAAUUAAAUUAAUAAAAAAAAUAGAGAACAAAACAGGAAGCUCCUUCACUAGGCUUUACUGCCCAGAACCCCAAAUCCAAGUCUGUCCUGCUUCCGUGGGUCACAAUGAAAAAGCAAGCUGCUGGCGUUGCCGAGGAACCCCAGCUCCUCACACUGCCCCACGUUCUGAGGUUAGUUCCUAGUUCAUUCCUGUCGUGCCUGAAUGAGAUCGUGGCUAUUCAGAACGAUGGCACGACCUCUUACCCUGGCACUGCACGUCACCCGUCGGCAUCCUGUGUAAAUCAGAGGAAUGUUUGCUGCUGAGGCCGAGAGCAUCUUUUUUAUUUAGCUGAAAUUAAAAUGGAAUAUACCAAAGACAUAGAAUCUAUUAGAACUUUUACAUUGUUUUUAUUAUUAAGAUAAAACAACAGUUAUAGAAACAGAGUUUUACCCUUUUAACCAUUUUGGAAUAUAUAAUACAAUGGCUUUUGAGCCAUUCAUGGUAUUGUAUACAACUGUCAGGUCAGCAAGGUCCAAUUCUCCCGAUCGCAAAAGAAAACCUGUACCCAGCAAGUCAGCAUUCCUCAUUCGCUCCUUCCUGAUUCCUAGUAAAAUCUCUAGAGUUGUAUGUUCUGGACAUUUCACGGAAUCAUACGCUCUGAGAUUCUGUCUAGUUCUAUUCACUUAGUGUGUUGUUUUCAAGGUUCACCCACAUUGUAGUGUACAUCCAUACUCUGUUCUCUUUUCAUGGCUGAAUAAUAUUUCAUUUAUGGGCGUACCACAGUGUGUUUUUGUAUUUACCAAUAUGGCAUUUGAAUUAUGCUGCUGUUUUUUAAGUUUAAUCUUUUAAUGUCAUUCGUGUGUUUCAUGUUCACAGACAACACUGGAUAGCACUGAACGUCACGGCAACAAGCCCUACCUAUGCUUUCCCCGUAGCAGCCAGCGUCUUUAACUCUUUGGCCUGUGUCUACCCCACUCCACUUACCUUCACAGUUCAAUUACAGACCAAGUGAAGUCAAGGACUAGUGAACAACCCUAUUUCAAAAAACCAGGUGGACAACUGUCCUGAAGGACACCCAAGGUGAACCUAAGGUGCACAUGCACACACACACACACACACACACACACACACACACACACACACACGCACACAGAAAAGGGACUGGUAUCAGUAGUAUGUAGAGAUUUUUGUAGCCCACCCAUACGGAUUCACAUCCUUUCAAAAUCCUUAUUUAAAUUCUGAAAUGAGUUGAGAAUCAUUUUCGAGUCUUAAGUUUCCAUUCUCUCCUAAUCCUGACUGUGAGGCUGUAACUUCCCUUCCAGCGUGUCCGGACAAGUGUGCGGUCACCAUGUUGCGCUUUGUUUUCUCGGAGGCCAACUUCCUCCCACCCUGAUCUGGAUGAGUGCCUUUCUCUGCUGUCUGGUUCCCUUGCUUCCUCUCCUGGGCUAAUAUGUCCCAGAUCCUGGGUUCUUUAACCCUCUUGACCCCAGUUCCCAUGUGUGUGUGUGUGUGUGUGAUUCAAAAAUGUACACACAUCCUUCCGCAGUCAUCUGGGAAAGGCUGACUGCUGGGGCUUUGUUUUUCUUUAGGUUUACACUCUGUUGAUAUGAAUUCCUGGUUUGGAAAAAGAAAAUCACCGCAGACUUUCAUUCUCUAGUGCUUUGCAGAGCUGAUCUGGACUAGACCGUUCUCUCUCUCUCUGGAAGUAGGAGACUCAGUCUCUCUCUCUCUCUCUCUCUCUCUCUCUCUCUCUCUCUCUUUCUGCGCCGGGCAUCAUUCAGUGUCAUGAACAGUGAUUGAUGUCUCUCCACUCCAUUAAAAAACUUCUGCCAUUUUAAUCCCCUGGCCUUACCGCCGCCGCCCCCCACUUCCGCCCUGGCACCACCUUUUCCAUGCCUCUCUGAUCCACUCCUUUGACUUAACCUUUUCCUCAUCUCCUUUCUGUCCCUGUGUUCUGUUUUCUGGAAAAAAGCCCCAUGUCUUCUAAAACUUCACAGUGAGUGUUUAUUUCUAAUGUACUUCAGUAUCUGAAAGAUGGGUUUUUAAUGUUUUUUCCCAUGUGAAGUUUCAGAGCUAUUUUGGGGGGUGUUGAUUUCAUUCUCAUAACUUUCUGCCCGCUACUGAGUCUAAUUCUUCCAGGUGCCUUGGGGUUUGGGGCUUUUGUGUUGUGGGUUUGCUUGGGUCUUGGACUCUUCAUAUUAGGGGUAGGUGUAGAAUGUCAAAGGUCUCUGUCCACUGACAGGACUUUUCAGCUGGCCUACCUAAUUGCAGCAUGUAUGCUAGAUAGAACAAUGGUCCUCUCAUAGGAACAAAAAGAGGCCCCUGUCCUUGGGGCUGGAGAGAUGACUCGGCAAUUGAGAGCAUGUACUGCUCUUACAGAGGCCCCGAAUUUGGUUCCUAGUACCAAUACCCAUGUGUGGUAGCUCGCGACCACAUGUAACCCCAGUUCCAGGGGAUCCAACACCCUCUUCUGGCCUCCACAGGUACUCACAUGGACAUGCUUGUGCACAAACACACAUACAUAAGCACACAAGUUUGUGGGGUUUUUUAAUCUUAAGAGAAAAAAAAAGUCCUUGUCCUAACUGAAAAUGUGGCCUUACUUGGGCUUAGAUGCGGUGAAUGGGUCAGGCACCCUGAGAUGGGACAGUAUCCUGGCUGGCCUGGUCAUACCAGGCCUUAAAAGCAGAGAGAUGUGAGGAUGGAGGCAAGUGGAGAGACCCAACACGGUUGGAGUAAGAUGGGCCCAGGCAAGGAAUGUGUCCUGUUCUGAGAUGAGGAGGGUCAGACAGCAGAGUUCUCCCUGCAGCCUCCGGAAAGGCGCGGAGCUGCUGACGCCCGACUUUACCCAGUGAGACCUGCUGUUGACUUGGGAGGAGAUGGCGCAGUUAUAUUCUUCAAAGACACUGGGUUUGUAGUGACUUGUCACUGAAAGGGUGUACAGCGCUGGUUUGUCGGCAGUGGAAGAGUCCCGAGCCAUGGUUACCAGAGUUGGAAUGGGCUUCAUUAGAAGAGGGGAUAGGACAGAGAGAGAAAGACCAAGAGAGCAUGUGGGGGUGCUCGUCUGGCUUUUAGGCUUGGACGUAGUCACCUGCUGAUGACGUAAUAAGGACUAGAUGAGACCCCUGGGCUGCGCAUGUACAGAAUCCUUACAGUCACAGCCGCUGUAAGAAAGUCAUAUUGUGUCUCAGUCUGCUGGAUCCAGUAGGGUGCCUCCAGUGCCAUUGCCUGCUUCUGAGUUCUUCAGUCUCCAACCAAGGGUUGCUUCGGUUAGCAUAGGUCAGCCCAACUCUUCAGCUAGUACAAGAAUAAAGCCUAGUGCCAUGUCAGAGAGGUCCUGGAAGCUUCAGCCAGAGCCUUGGAGAAAUUCUCACCCUUCUUGGGCCUGCAUCAUGGGAGCCAGAGGCUCCAGGAGUUCCAGGAAGUGGCAGAGUCUGUCCACCAGUGGCUGGCCGCUCAAUGGAGGCAGGUAGAUGGGACAAUGGACUGCCACGUCUGGCCUUUGGAAUAAUAACUUUGAUGUAGUCAUUGUGCAUCUGAUUCAAGAUUCUCCCACGGCCAAAUGGUAGCCUGGAAUCAUAUGGAGAAGGGGAUCCUGGGAAAUGUAGUUUCAGCCUUACAGGACAAGAUGGAGGUGGUGAAUGAGACCCAAUCCUACACAGGGAUGAGCCUGAAUGUCAGAUUCUAGAAGCCGAAUUGAAGAGGGGGCAGCAAGUCCUACUGUUCAGAAUGUGGAUUUCUAAUGAACCUCUUCUGUAGCCUGGCACUCAACACUCCCCUGGCUGUGCCCACUGUCUCCAAGAGCACAUCAUCUCUGCCUCAAGCUCUCUACAGAGUGAGAUGUAUUGGGGGUACUUGGGGAGAAACUAGAAUUUAACUGAGCCUCUGUGCCUCUGUUCCAGAGACUUCUUCCAGUCCACCUGACUUCAAGACACUGCACCUCGCUCAGUUCCUGAGCCUUCCUGCCCUUCUGCACAGGUCAGGAGACAACGGUAGAACUGAGGAGCAGAGAGGCUGAGAGGAAACAGCAACAAUCCAGAGAUCCAGAACCCAAGCAGCAGGCAAGCGAUGAGUCUCCAGACAAAUUUGAAAUGGCUUUGGAAGGGGUCCUGAUGCCACAUUGACUGGGCAUCAGCAACCACUGGCCUGAUUUCCCCCUCAUAGAUGGCAGAGUCAAGAGUAGCACCCCAUUAAGGCUGCAUAAUGAACGUAUGUAACAAGAA